rnacentral:tRNA from 1 species
GGAUAGCUCAGUUGGUAGAGCAGCGGAUUGAAAAUCCGCGUGUCGGCGGUUCAAAUCCGUCUCCGG